rnacentral:rRNA from 1 species
UACGUAGGGUGCAAGCGUUGUCCGGAAUUAUUGGGCGUAAAGAGCUCGUAGGCGGUCUGUCACGUCGGAUGUGAAAGCCCGGGGCUUAACCCCGGGUCUGCAUUCGAUACGGGCAGACUAGAGUGUGGUAGGGGAGAUCGGAAUUCCUGGUGUAGCGGUGAAAUGCGCAGAUAUCAGGAGGAACACCGGUGGCGAAGGCGGAUCUCUGGGCCAUUACUGACGCUGAGGAGCGAAAGCGUGGGGAGCGAACAGG